AAAGUAUUUUUUUCUUUUUUUUUUUAUAGUUCCUAGAGUAUGUUUUAAUAAAAAAUAUUUUACAAAUACAUAUAUACUGUGACAAGCACAUGGUUCAUGAUUACUGAAUACAAAUACGUUAUUAUUAAUAUUAAUUAUAUUAUAUAAAAUUAUAUUUUACAUUAUUUUUUUUAAUAUUGAAUUUUAAGAAGAUAGAAAUACACACAAUAAAAUACAUUAAAUAUAAACGAUAAACAAGAAAUAGUUACCAUUUUGUUUCGUUAGCUAGAAGAGAAGGAUCGGAAAUAAGGUGGCAUUAAAUGAAGUUGGCGAGUCAAAUCAGUGUAUUUCCGUUUAUGUUAAGUUGGCAGUUCAGUUUCAAAUUACGUUUGAAUUCUCUCGCGCGUUUCAAAUAUUUAUUAUUUUAAUGUUUUUUAUCCAUUUUUAAUAAUUUAAGUGUAUGUGAUACUUGUGAUAUUAGCAGUUUUGAAAGGAUUCUAAAGAAAAAAAUUGCUGUAUUAAGGUACAAUGGAUUCUGAUAUUGGAGCGAACGAAGAGAAGAUGUUAUCAGUUCGAAAUCCAGUGAUUUGCACAUAAUGAUGUAUAUUUUUUCACAAAAUGUAUAUUAUAAUAUACUUUCACUGCCUUGGA